rnacentral:rRNA from 1 species
GGGAACUCAAAGGAGACUGCCGGUGAUAAACCGGAGGAAGGUGGGGAUGACGUCAAGUCAUCAUGGCCCUUACGAGUAGGGCUACACACGUGCUACAAUGGCGGAUACAAAGAGAAGCGACCUCGCGAGAGCAAGCGGACCUCAUAAAGUCCGUCGUAGUCCGGAUUGGAGUCUGCAACUCGACUCCAUGAAGUCGGAAUCGCUAGUAAUCGUAGAUCAGAAUGCUACGGUGAAUACGUUCCCGGGCCUUGUACACACCGCCCGUCACACCAUGGGAGUGGG